rnacentral:misc_RNA from 1 species
AACGGUCUAUACCUGCGGUACCUGCGGAAGGAUCAUUACCGAGUGAGGGCCCUCUGGGUCCAACCUCCCACCCGUGUUUAUCGUACCUUGUUGCUUCGGCGGGCCCGCCUCACGGCCGCCGGGGGGCACCCGCCCCCGGGCCCGCGCCCGCCGAAGACACCAUUGAACUCUGUCUGAAGAUUGCAGUCUGAGCGAUUAGCUAAAUCAGUUAAAACUUUCAACAACGGAUCUCUAGAUCGG